GCAUUAAUGGUUCAGUGGUAGAAUUCACACCUUCAAUGCGAAAGACCAGGGUUCGAUUCCCAGCCAAUACG
rnacentral:tRNA from 1 species